ACGUUUUGAUAACAAAAAUUCUUUUAUUGAUUUAGGUUUUUGAUUUAGAUAACGAUUUCUGUGAAAGUUUCUUAUAUGGUGGUUUACAUAUUCUUAUAAUUAUCAAAUUCUGGUCCUAGAUUUUGAAACUCAGAUUCCAGAACUUAUGCAGAGGACACAAGGGAAUGAAGAGCUUCCUGGUGAUUUAAUCUCAGUGUGAAGCUUUUAUCGGUCUUCCAUCAAAUAGGGGGAGAUUGAUACAUCUUUCCCAGCAUGUGAAAACGGUUUGUGUAGAUUGUUAUUUUCAGCAUCAAUGUGUCAUAAUUUCGCAUCUAUGGAGUAAAUGUUAAACUAAUAAAAAGGCAACAAAACAAGAUGCCUUCGUGGAAUUACAUAGUUAAGUGGGAAAGUUGUAGAUUUUGUAGAACUCAAAAGGAAUUAUAUAUGAUUUAGUUUAGUAUUGACAAACACAUUGAGUUGCCAGUUAGGAGUUGGCACAUGAAUAGACGGAGGUUGCUUCAUUGUCUGGAAAAAACAAGGAACCUUUGAUAGAGGAAUACAAUGCUAAUAAAGAGAGAGACACUUAGUUCCGACUUCUUUUUCAAUGUUAUCCAAAUUAUUCAUUUCUUUUGUCUAUGUACCGAUGUUAUCAAUGUUUAGUUUCGAGUGCAAUCUAUGUACCCAUAUAACCAAAUCCAUCACAAAAAACAAUAACCCUCCCGACUCAUGUGAAGCAUGGGAUACAUUACUAGUUUUAUCCUAAUAGAUAAUUCAUCUUUAAGAAGAAA